AGUGAACGCUGGCGGUAGGCCUAACACAUGCAAGUCGAACGGCAGCACAGUAAGAGCUUGCUCUUACGGGUGGCGAGUGGCGGACGGGUGAGGAAUACAUCGGAAUCUACUUUUUCGUGGGGGAUAACGUAGGGAAACUUACGCUAAUACCGCAUACGACCUACGGGUGACAGCAGGGGAUCUUCGGACCUUGCGCGAUUGAAUGAGCCGAAGUCGGAUUAGCUAGUUGGCGGGGUAAAGGCCCACCAAGGCGACGAUCCGUAGCUGGUCUGAGAGGAUGGGCGGGCACACGGGGAGUGGGACACGGGCCAGAAUCCUACGGGAGGCAGCAGUGGGGAGUAUGGAAGGAUGGGGGCAAGCCGGAUGCAGCGACGCCGCGGGAGGGAUGGAGGCUUGCGGGUUGUGAACCUAGGACGCCAGUGAAGCAGGCACGCCGCGUUUGUGGGUGGGUGGAGGGUAGCUGGAUAAGAAGCGCCGGCUAACUACGUG
rnacentral:rRNA from 1 species